AGACCCGAAACCCGGUGAUCUAGCCAUGGGCAGGUUGAAGGUUGGGUAACACUAACUGGAGGACCGAACCGACUAAUGUUGAAAAAUUAGCGGAUGACCUGUGGCUGGGGGUGAAAGGCCAAUCAAACCGGGAGAUAGCUGGUUCUCCCCGAAAGCUAUUUAGGUAGCGCCUCGUGAAUUCAUCUCCGGGGGUAGAGCACUGUUUCGGCUAGGGGGCCAUCCCGGCUUACCAACCCGAUGCAAACUGCGAAUACCGGAGAAUGUUAUCACGGGAGACACACGGCGGGUGCUAACGUCCGUCGUGAAGAGGGAAACAACCCAGACCGCCAGCUAAGGUCCCAAAGUCAUGGUUAAGUGGGAAACGAUGUGGGAAGGCCCAGACAGCCAGGAUGUUGGCUUAGAAGCAGCCAUCAUUUAAAGAAAGCGUAAUAGCUCACUGGUCGAGUCGGCCUGCGCGGAAGAUGUAACGGGGCUAAACCAUGCACCGAAGCUGCGGCAGCGAACGUAUCACUUAAAGCGAUUCAGCGGGUUACGAUUGACGGAGCGAAGCGACGUCAAAGCGUAUACAAAGUCGAGUCGGUUUAAGGAUACGUUCGUUGGGUAGGGGAGCGUUCUGUAAGCCUGCGAAGGUGGCCUGUGAGGGUUGCUGGAGGUAUCAGAAGUGCGAAUGCUGACAUAAGUAACGAUAAAGCGGGUGAAAAGCCCGCUCGCCGGAAGACCAAGGGUUCCUGUCCAACGUUAAUCGGGGCAGGGUGAGUCGACCCCUAAGGCGAGGCCGAAAGGCGUAGUCGAUGGGAAACGGGUUAAUAUUCCCGUACUUGGUGUUACUGCGAAGGGGGGACGGAGAAGG
rnacentral:rRNA from 1 species